UACCAACUAUUGUUUCUAGAACCUUCUUAUAUCUCACUCUUUCUAUUUCUUACACAAAAUGGGGGUGGUUGACACAUCGAAGAAGAAUAAGCAGUCCACAUUAUCUGUUUACCUUUACAUACCCAAUAUCACUGGAUACAUAAGAAUUAUCAUGAAUAUUGUUGCAUUUGCUCGAUGUUUUGAAGAUAAGAAACUCUUCGCAAUACUAUAUACUUCAUCAGCUUUGUGUGUGACGGCUUAGAUGGCUGGUUAGCUCGCAAGUUCAAUCAAGGGUCAGCACUGCUUGUCUGUUGGUAGUCCUCUCCCAGUUUUACCGGCCUGGCAUGAUUUUCUUGUCUUUGCUUAGCCUAGAUAUUGCCAGCCAUUGGCUGCAAUGUACAG